GACACUUCACAUAAUUAAUGUCAAGCAAUGGAGAUCCGAUAAGGCUUUAUAUUGGUGGGAAAGAGUCUUUUUAGCUAAUCUAAUGCUUUCUGAAGCUUAUAUGUUCCUUCUUUUUCCAAAAGGGAAAUCAAGAUAUCCUUUUCCAGGUUUUUUUAAAGCAGGCGGCAAAAGUGACAAACACCAUAAUUUAUUCUUGCUAGGCAUAGAAGAGGUGUCAAUUAUGCCUUUUUUUAAUCCCAUAAUUUAAUUCUGCAUACAUGGGCUAUGCAUGGCAGCAUUAUUCUCUUUGUACAUCUAUAAAUUUAGCUUCUUCCUCACAUGCAUCCCUUACCUUUCCCUGUCUAUUGCUUCCUGCCAUCCAAGCUGAUUUCUCUAAGUUCAAACUACUUUUGUAAGCACAAAUCCAUCAUCAUUUCUCUUCUCUGUUAUCAUAUCAGUUAUCAUCACAAAGUAUAGCAGUACUUCUAAACUGUGUUUUCUUUGCUUUAUUUUGCAGGAAAUGGAUUUCCUUGGAAUUUAUCUGAUAACCCUCCUGGCCAUUUCCAAAAGAAUUCAUGCGUAUGCAGGUGGAUGGUCUAAUGGCCAUGCUACCUUCUAUGGAGGUGG
rnacentral:misc_RNA from 1 species